rnacentral:tRNA from 1 species
GCCUGGGUGGCUCAGUCAGUUCAGCAUCUGACUGCAACUCAGGUCUUGAUCUCGCUGUUCAUGAGUUCAAGCCCCAUGUCAGGCU